GCGGCCGUGGCGGAAUUGGUAGACGCGCAGCGUUGAGGUCGCUGUUCCUUAACCGGGUGGAAGUUCGAGUCUUCUCGGCCGCACCA
rnacentral:tRNA from 1 species